GAAAUGCGAUAAGUAAUGUGAAUUGCAGAAUUCAGUGAAUCAUCGAAUCUUUGAACGCACCUUGCGCUCCUUGGUAUUCCUUGGAGCAUGCCUGUUUGAGUAUCAUGAAAUCUUCAAAGUAGAUCUUUUGUUAACUCAAUUGGUUUCUACUUUGGUAUUGGAGGUCUUUGCAGCUUCACACCUGCUCCUCUUUGUUCAUUAGCUGGAUCUCAGUGUUAUGCUUGGUUCCACUCGGCGUGAUAAGUUAUCUAUCGCUGAGGACACUGUAAAAGGUGGCCAAGGUAAAUGCAGAUGAACCGCUUCUAAUAGUCCAUUGACUUGGACAAUACUUUUAUGAUCUGAUCUCAAAUCAGGUAGGACUACCCGCUGAACUUAAGC
rnacentral:misc_RNA from 1 species